GCGGGCUGAGAGACAGACAGAGAGAGAGAGAGAGAGCUGGGUGUGUGGAGAGGAAGCGGCGGGAGAGGACAAAAACAAACUGCUCCCAGCCCUAUCCUGAUGCGGGGAGACGGAGAUAAGGAAAAAAGAAGAGGCACCACCCCUCCUGGCUGCUUGGCCCUCACCACCCCCCCACCUCCAUCUCCUGCCACGACUUACUCAGUGGAGAUCUGGCUGACCAGCUCGAAGGAGCCAAACCCAGCAGCUGCAAAACUUUCUUCGUAUCUUCCCAUCUUGAUGGCUCGAAGCCACUCACCCACAGAGCCAAAAGCUGAGUAGUGAGGCUGCCGCUGAUCCAGGAGGGGGUGCGAGGCCCUGGGAGGCAAGGAUGGGGAGGACGCACUGAGAACCAGCCUGUGUCAGGGUGGGGACGUAGAGCCCAGCCCUGGAGAGGUGGACAGGGACCAUCCCACAUACCACCAAAGGGACGGAUACUUCUCGGGGGGAAGCGAGGUUCUCAGGGGAUGGCAGAGUGCAGGAAAGAGGGCCCAUCCUCUGGGGUCCUCACCCGCCAUUCUCGCGGGCCACGAUUUUGAGGCUGGCAGGGUUCCGGAUCAUCUUGUCGAGGGCACUGACCACCUGGGGGAAGCGGGGCCGUGCAUUCCGGUCUUUCUGCCAACAGUCCAGCAUAAGCUGAUGCAGGGAGGUGGGGCAGUCUGGGGGCGGGGGCAACCGGUAGUCCUGUUCAAUGGCAUUGAUCACCUGGAAUGACAGGUAGAAGCACUGGGUAAGGACGUCAGGGAAAACGAGGCUGCCAAAGGACCCCAGGGAAAUGGCGACUUAACAGACGCUGGGAUGGCUGCUACAGCCCCCCAAGAAGGGCAAAUCUGGGGGGUGCUCCUGGCCAGGGCUGAGGCCACUGGCUGUGGCUCAACGUCCCAGAAGGUCUUGAGCUAUGAUCCAGACAUGUAACUUCCCAAGGCUGCCCUCCAUCACUGUGUCCUUCUGUAACCAGAUAGACUGUAUCAAACUCUUGGAUACAGAGAUCAGCUCGUCACAGUGCCACCCUCACCACCUCAAGGACCAAGCAGUGAUGAGCUCUCUGAGAACCCACCCCCCCCAACACCGCCAUAUCCCAAGAGAGAGGAUGUUCCAGGAAAGCUUGGUAGGACACUUACAUCCUGAUUGCUCAUAUCCCAGUAUGGCCGUUCCCCAAAUGACAUGACCUCCCACAUCACAAUCCCAUAGCUCCAGGCAUCACUGGCAGAUGUGAACUUGCGGAACGCAAUGGCCUCAGGGGCUGUCCAUCGGAUGGGAAUCUUUCCUCCCUAAAGAUAGGGGAGGAAAAGCCUCACCAGAGAGCUCGUGUAGGUGGGAUCAGAAGAGUUCUCCUCCAGGAAUCGGGAGAGGCCAAAGUCUGAAACCUUGCAGACGAGGUUGCUGUUGACCAGGAUGUUGCGGGCAGCCAGGUCUCGGUGGACGUAGCUCAUCUCAGCAAGACCCAACUCACAGACCCACGUGUAGGACAGGCCUGCUGACAUCCCAGCAACAGAGCGCUGACAGUUACGAGUGUGCUCUGAAGCCACCCUUCUACAGGUGGAGAUGCGUGUGUUCGUGCUGAUCCUGCCACAGUCUCGCUCAGCCCUCUUGGACCAACUGUAUGCCGGAUGCAAGAGAACAGUGAGGAAUCGGGUGUGAUCAGUGACCACAGCACCAAAACCAAGGUCUAAAGCCCGACCUUGAGCUUUAUAGAGUUGGCUCUCACCAGGAAACACAGAGAAACAAGCUAGAUGACCCCACAAGGAAGAAUCCGAUAAAUCCAGAAGAUAAGACAUUCAAGUGGACAAGUGGCCCAGCCCUUCAGUGUAUCAGAACCCCAACAAGGGACUGUCCUGGAUGUAGAAAAGGCUCAAAACAAUAAUCACAGGUGCAAUGCUUGAUCCUGAACUAGAUGCUGGGACAUUUUGGGGACAACUAGAGAAAUAUGAGCAUCAAGUGGGCAUUAGGUGAUACCAAGGAAUUGUUGUAAUUCUGUUAAAUGCAAUGUUACUUUGCUAUGUAGAAAAACGUUCUGGGGGCUUCCCUGGUGGUCUAAUGGUUAAGACGCUGCAUUUCCACUGCAGGGGAAGCGGCUUCGAUCCCCGGUCAGGGAAAUUCCGCAUGCCGCGUGGAGUGGCCAAAAAAAAAAAAAAGUUUUGGCUUUUUACAGAAGAUGCAUAGUAAAGUUUAAAAAAUAAUAAAAUUUCAUACAAUUUUGUUAAGGUAGCAAAAAUGAGUUCUCUCUCAUUUCUAUGAUCCUGUUUAAUUUUUUUCACAUCUG